rnacentral:rRNA from 1 species
UACGGAGGGGGCUAGCGUUGUUCGGAAUUACUGGGCGUAAAGCGCACGUAGGCGGCUUUGUAAGUUAGAGGUGAAAGCCCAGAGCUCAACUCUGGAACUGCCUUUAAGACUGCAUCGCUUGAAUCAUGGAGAGGUCAGUGGAAUUCCGAGUGUAGAGGUGAAAUUCGUAGAUAUUCGGAAGAACACCAGCGGCGAAGGCGGCGACCUGGGUAGAUACUGACGCUGAGGUGCGAAAGCGUGGGGAGCAAACAGG